rnacentral:rRNA from 1 species
CAGACAGGGAAACUGCGUACGGCUCAUUACACCAGCCUUAAUUUACUUGACCUUGACAACCUACUUGGAUAACUGUGGUAAUUCUAGAGCUAAUACAUGCACCAAAGCUCCGAUCCUCGCGGAGAGGAGCGCAUUUGUUCGCCACAAAACCAAGCGCCCAUCUGGGCGUCCAGUGCUGAACCAGAACAACUCAGCUGAUCGCACGGUCUUGUACCGGCGACGUGUCUUUCAAGUGUCUGCCUUAUCAACUUUCGAUGGUAGUGUACCUGACUACCAUGGUUGUGACGGGUAACGGAGGAUAAGGGUUCGACUCCGGAGAAGGGGCCUGAGAAAUGGCCACUACGUCUAAGGAUGGCAGCAGGCGCGCAAAUUACCCACUCUCAACGCGAGGAGGUAGUGACGAGAAAUAACGAGACCGUUCUCAUACGAGGCCGGUUAUUGGAAUGGGUACAAUUUAAA